CAUCCGCACAUCAAGCAGGCACACCCGAAACACGCCAGAGAGAAAGGCCUGUGCUUCAGCACGAACAGUCUGCCAUUCCAUUUCUGUUGUGCUUACUCAAUAAUUAUCGUCCAUCAGGUUAUAUUCAGCAUGUGAAGCGAAGGCAGCCACUAGUUUAAGGAUAUGAACCGGGGUGACAGGAAUACCUAGCUAUGAGUAUGACGUUACAAGAUGAAGUUUAUUGGUGUAAAAUUUGAAAAUACCCUAUAAAUGCCAUGCAACACUACCACCUCAGCAAGCCAUUUCAAAAUGAUCUCUAAACCAGAUGAUGUCAUUAAGUUAAAUUCCCUGUACAGCAAGUGUGACCUCUAUGGAAAAACCCAACUGACCUCACAGGUUAUCUACAUAUGGGUCCUAACUUUUUCUGAAAGUGGCGUAGGUGUUAUAGAGUGUGGUUCAGAGUGACAAAAUCUCAGAAACCGAUUCUUCCUUGGAUCUAACUAGAUGGCAGACACCCUUGACCCACAGCAACAUGUUAAUUAUUCCAUUGGGCAGCAAAGAAGAACAGAGAAUUAAUGUAACUAGCAGUUAGUGGACAGAAAAAUGGAACAGCAUAUGUUCAUACACGCAUAUGAACAUACAGUUGAUGUGUUGACUUGAUCUAGCCCAGAGGACAUCCAUGACUUCAUCAACCUUAAAGGGAGGUAUGCCGUCUACGUCAAGGCCUGCUGGUCCCAUGAAAUCUUUAAUUAUGGUUUCCACUGUACAUACUGAUGCUUGCAAGUCAAGUACUAUCUUCACAGUAGGGAUGCUGAAUGAAAAUAUAAAUAUUUGGAGAGGCAAGAGCAGUAUGCAAUUGGGUAUUUUCAUUUUUUAAUAUGUUUGCAGCAGUUAAAUUUGACCUCCACAUCAUGGGUCACUUAGUGAACAAAUAAACUGUUAAAUUUAAUCAAUAAACUGCAUGCUGUGAAAGCACCAAGAAACAAAAUCCAUAUAUAGUAUGCUAAAAACUGACAGGGCUCAAACACAAGAUCAUCUGAUAUCAUUCUUUAUCAUAUAUAAAGUGCCUGUUUGAUCUGAUUACAAUAUUUAUCAAUUAGUACUUGAAACAACCAGCUUAAUUUGUUAGUUACUGCAUUUUAAAUUUUAAGAUGUGAAGUGGUGCUGUAUUUGUUUUCACUGCAGGAUAGUCCGACACGUGAAUCUCCAUGUUCAUAAGCAGUGCCUUUUUUAGGCGGAGUAACAAUAUAAGAUGGCUACUGAAGCUGAGAUGUAAGAAUUGAUGCUUCAAGUUCAGUUAAUUAGCUGCCAUUUCUGAUGUUUCAGUUAUGAUGCUGAAAAAGCGCAACAGUGGUAGAAAGCAAGGGGGAAAGAAUAAUCUGCAGAUAUCUCUUGCACCAUAAACAGUAAACAUGGGUGGCAAGAUCUUGUUCUUUGUUGCCACCAUCUUUUAAAUUUUUCUGAAAUGUAAAUUUCAAUGUAUGUUUUUUGCAUAGUUCAAUCAAUUGUCCAGUGUGCUUGUUGCAGAUCAAGUCUGACUUAAUUUGCACUUCAUCA